AUCCGUUUAUAGUUCAUAAGUCUAAUGACUGGAUGUUUACGCUGUUGUGUGACAUCUGCCUCCCUCAAACCUUCUUACGGCCUUAGCACAUUACCCGUCUGACA
ensembl:snoRNA